rnacentral:lncRNA from 1 species
AUGUCACAUUAUCCGUAUGUCCUGGGUGAGGUCAUCAGAGCUCUUGAAGGAAUGGACCUAAUGAGCCUUGAGAACAAAAUUCCAUUAGAAGUGGAUGUAGAGGAUUCUCCAGCUGUUGUGCCCUCCACAUCUAGCUUGGUAUCUUCUUGGCCAAUCAUUUCACAACUCAGGUUAUAUGUGACCUUUUGUAGUCUUCUGGGAAGCCCUGGCUCAGAACACGUGGAAAUACAGAAUAAUGACCACUUUGUGGCUCUUGGUGCACAUAUGGCUCACAAGCAAAUGAAUUGUGGCUCUCAGACUUUGCCUAUGAAUUUUCCAGGAGUUCACUUGUCCUUCAGGGGGAAGGGAAACACUUCAGAGCAAUUACUUGGGUCUUAUAAAAAAAAAAUAGCAGGAAAAAAGCCAGAAUAUUUUCCCUGA